rnacentral:rRNA from 1 species
UGAGGAAUAUUGGUCAAUGGUCGAGAGACUGAACCAGCCAAGUCGCGUGAAGGAAGAAGGAUCUAUGGUUUGUAAACUUCUUUUGCAGGGGGGUAAAGUGAGUGACGAGUCAUUCAUUGCAAGUACCCUGCGAAUAAGCAUCGGCUAACUCCGUGCCAGCAGCCGCGGUAAUACGGAGGAUGCGAGCGUUAUCCGGAUUUAUUGGGUUUAAAGGGUGCGUAGGUGGAGAGAUAAGUCAGUGGUGAAAUCCUGAUGCUUAACGUUAGGAUUGCCGUUGAAACUGUUUUUCUAGAGUGUGAUUGAGGCAGGCGGAAUGUGUGGUGUAGCGGUGAAAUGCAUAGAUAUCACGCAGAACUCCGAUUGCGAAGGCAGCUUGCCAAGCCAC